GGUUAAGCGACUAAGCGUACACGGUGGAUGCCCUGGCAGUCAGAGGCGAUGAAGGGCGUGCUAAUCUGCGAUAAGCGCCGGUAAGGUGAUAUGAACCGUUAUAACCGGCGAUACCCGAAUGGGGAAACCCAGUGUGACUCGUCACACUAUCAUUAACUGAAUCCAUAGGUUAAUGAGGCGAACCGGGGGAACUGAAACAUCUAAGUACCCCGAGGAAAAGAAAUCAACCGAGAUUCCCCCAGUAGCGGCGAGCGAACGGGGAGGAGCCCAGAGCCUGAAUCAGCAUGUGUGUUAGUGGAAGCGUCUGGAAAGGCGCGCGAUACAGGGUGACAGCCCCGUACACAAAAGCGCAUGUGCUGUGAGCUCGAUGAGUAGGGCGGGACACGUGGUAUCCUGUCUGAAUAUGGGGGGACCAUCCUCCAAGGCUAAAUACUCCUGACUGACCGAUAGUGAACCAGUACCGUGAGGGAAAGGCGAAAAGAACCCCGGCGAGGGGAGUGAAAAAGAACCUGAAACCGUGUACGUACAAGCAGUGGGAGCACAGGUUUACCUGUGUGACUGCGUACCUUUUGUAUAAUGGGUCAGCGACUUAUAUUCUGUAGCAAGGUUAACCGAAUAGGGGAGCCGGAGGGAAACCGAGUCUUAACCGGGCGUUAAGUUGCAGGGUAUAGACCCGAAACCCGGUGAUCUAGCCAUGGGCAGGUUGAAGGUUGGGUAACACUAACUGGAGGACCGAACCGACUAAUGUUGAAAAAUUAGCGGAUGACCUGUGGCUGGGGGUGAAAGGCCAAUCAAACCGGGAGAUAGCUGGUUCUCCCCGAAAGCUAUUUAGGUAGCGCCUCGUGAAUUCAUCUCCGGGGGUAGAGCACUGUUUCGGCUAGGGGGCCAUCCCGGCUUACCAACCCGAUGCAAACUGCGAAUACCGGAGAAUGUUAUCACGGGAGACACACGGCGGGUGCUAACGUCCGUCGUGAAGAGGGAAACAACCCAGACCGCCAGCUAAGGUCCCAAAGUCAUGGUUAAGUGGGAAACGAUGUGGGAAGGCCCAGACAGCCAGGAUGUUGGCUUAGAAGCAGCCAUCAUUUAAAGAAAGCGUAAUAGCUCACUGGUCGAGUCGGCCUGCGCGGAAGAUGUAACGGGGCUAAACCAUGCACCGAAGCUGCGGCAGCGACGCUGAUGCGUUGUUGGGUAGGGGAGCGUUCUGUAAGCCUGCGAAGGUGGCCUGUGAGGGUUGCUGGAGGUAUCAGAAGUGCGAAUGCUGACAUAAGUAACGAUAAAGCGGGUGAAAAGCCCGCUCGCCGGAAGACCAAGGGUUCCUGUCCAACGUUAAUCGGGGCAGGGUGAGUCGACCCCUAAGGCGAGGCCGAAAGGCGUAGUCGAUGGGAAACGGGUUAAUAUUCCCGUACUUGGUGUUACUGCGAAGGGGGGACGGAGAAGGCUAUGUUGGCCGGGCGACGGUUGUCCCGGUUUAAGCGUGUAGGCUGGUUUUCCAGGCAAAUCCGGAAAAUCAAGGCUGAGGCGUGAUGACGAGGCACUACGGUGCUGAAGCAACAAAUGCCCUGCUUCCAGGAAAAGCCUCUAAGCAUCAGGUAACAUCAAAUCGUACCCCAAACCGACACAGGUGGUCAGGUAGAGAAUACCAAGGCGCUUGAGAGAACUCGGGUGAAGGAACUAGGCAAAAUGGUGCCGUAACUUCGGGAGAAGGCACGCUGACACGUAGGUGAAGUGAUUUACUCAUGGAGCUGAAGUCAGUCGAAGAUACCAGCUGGCUGCAACUGUUUAUUAAAAACACAGCACUGUGCAAACACGAAAGUGGACGUAUACGGUGUGACGCCUGCCCGGUGCCGGAAGGUUAAUUGAUGGGGUCAGCGCAAGCGAAGCUCCUGAUCGAAGCCCCGGUAAACGGCGGCCGUAACUAUAACGGUCCUAAGGUAGCGAAAUUCCUUGUCGGGUAAGUUCCGACCUGCACGAAUGGCGUAAUGAUGGCCAGGCUGUCUCCACCCGAGACUCAGUGAAAUUGAACUCGCUGUGAAGAUGCAGUGUACCCGCGGCAAGACGGAAAGACCCCGUGAACCUUUACUAUAGCUUGACACUGAACAUUGAGCCUUGAUGUGUAGGAUAGGUGGGAGGCUUUGAAGUGUGGACGCCAGUCUGCAUGGAGCCGACCUUGAAAUACCACCCUUUAAUGUUUGAUGUUCUAACGUGGACCCGUUACCCGGGUUGCGGACAGUGUCUGGUGGGUAGUUUGACUGGGGCGGUCUCCUCCUAAAGAGUAACGGAGGAGCACGAAGGUUGGCUAAUCCUGGUCGGACAUCAGGAGGUUAGUGCAAUGGCAUAAGCCAGCCUGACUGCGAGCGUGACGGCGCGAGCAGGUGCGAAAGCAGGUCAUAGUGAUCCGGUGGUUCUGAAUGGAAGGGCCAUCGCUCAACGGAUAAAAGGUACUCCGGGGAUAACAGGCUGAUACCGCCCAAGAGUUCAUAUCGACGGCGGUGUUUGGCACCUCGAUGUCGGCUCAUCACAUCCUGGGGCUGAAGUAGGUCCCAAGGGUAUGGCUGUUCGCCAUUUAAAGUGGUACGCGAGCUGGGUUUAGAACGUCGUGAGACAGUUCGGUCCCUAUCUGCCGUGGGCGCUGGAGAACUGAGGGGGGCUGCUCCUAGUACGAGAGGACCGGAGUGGACGCAUCACUGGUGUUCGGGUUGUCAUGCCAAUGGCACUGCCCGGUAGCUAAAUGCGGAAGAGAUAAGUGCUGAAAGCAUCUAAGCACGAAACUUGCCCCGAGAUGAGUUCUCCCUGAGACUUAGAGUCUCCUGAAGGAACGUUGAAGACGACGACGUUGAUAGGCCGGGUGUGUAAGCGCAGCGAUGCGUUGAGCUAACCGGUACUAAUGAACCGUGAGGCUUAACCUU
rnacentral:rRNA from 1 species